UACAGAGGGUGCGAGCGUUAAUCGGAAUUACUGGGCGUAAAGCGUGCGUAGACGGUUAUUUAAGUCGGGUGUGAAAGCCCCGGGCUCAACCUGGGAAUUGCAUUCGAGACUGAAUAGCUAGGGUACGGUAGAGGGAAGUGGAAUUUCCGGUGUAGCGGUGAAAUGCGUAGAUAUCAGGAGGAACACCGGUGGCGAAGGCGGGUCUCUGGGCCGAUACUGACGCUGAGGAGCGAAAGCCAGGGGAGCAAACGGG
rnacentral:rRNA from 1 species